UACGAAGGGAGCUAGCGUUGUUCGGAAUUACUGGGCGUAAAGGGAGCGUAGGCGGGUUAUCAAGUUGGAGGUGAAAGCCCAGGGCUCAACCUUGGAAUUGCCUUCAAAACUGAUAGCCUAGAGUAUGAUAGAGGUAAGUGGAACUCCGAGUGUAGAGGUGAAAUUCGUAGAUAUUCGGAAGAACACCAGUGGCGAAGGCGACUUACUGGAUCAUGACUGACGCUGAGGCUCGAAAGCGUGGGGAGCAAACAGG
rnacentral:rRNA from 1 species